rnacentral:rRNA from 1 species
CACGGGGGGAGCAAGCGUUGUUCGGAAUCACUGGGCGUAAAGGGCGUGUAGGCGGUCAAGUAAGUGGGAUGUGAAAUCCCCGGGCUCAACCCGGGAACUGCGUCCGAUACUGGAAGGCUUGAAUCCGGGAGAGGGAUGUGGAAUUCCAGGUGUAGCGGUGAAAUGCGUAGAUAUCUGGAGGAACACCGGUGGCGAAGGCGACAUCCUGGACCGGUAUUGACGCUGAGGCGCGAAGGCCAGGGGAGCAAACGGG